GGUUCUUUAGCUCAGGGGUAGAGCGCGAUCUUAACACGGUCGAGGUCGACGGUUCGAAACCGCCAAGAAUCA
rfam:Naematelia encephala strain 68-887.2 BCR39scaffold_48, whole genome shotgun sequence.